rnacentral:rRNA from 1 species
UGGGGAAUUUUGGACAAUGGGCGCAAGCCUGAUCCAGCAAUGCCGCGUGCAGGAUGAAGGCCUUCGGGUUGUAAACUGCUUUUGGACGGAACGAAAAGACUCACUCUAAUACAGGGCGAUGAUGACGGUACCGUAAGAAUAAGCACCGGCUAACUACGUGCCAGCAGCCGCGGUAAUACGUAGGGUGCGAGCGUUAAUCGGAAUUACUGGGCGUAAAGCGUGAGUAGGUGGUUUGUUAAGUCUGAUGUGAAAGCCCCGGGCUCAACCUGGGAAUUGCUGUGGAUACUUGGGAGCUAGAGUACGGUAGAGGGGGGUGGAAUUCCUGGUGUAGCGGUGAAAUGCGUAGAUAUCAGGAGGAACGCCGGUGGCGAAGGCGACUCUCUGGGCCGUAACUGACGCUGAGGUGCGAAAGGUUGGGGAGCAAACA